GCGGAUGCGGAUGGAAUCAUUUCCCAAUUUGGAACCACUUUCUCGUCUUCACCAUCUUACAAAAGUGGAGUUAGAUGGAGCCAUAACAGAAGAUCCACAUUCCUCGCAUCACAACUUGGAACAUCUACCAGCAAGCCUUGUCAAGUUAACUUUGAUAAAUUCUCAAUUAAAGCGAGAUCCUAUGGGUAUUUUGAAGAAGCUGCCUAGUCUAAGAAUUCUGGAGUUGUAUAAUAAUUCAUACAUAGGGUCUAAAAUGGUCUGCUCUACCCAUGGGUUCCCUCAACUUGAGACUCUUAGUGUU
rnacentral:misc_RNA from 1 species